AUGUGCCUGGCUCCUUGUAUGCCACACAUGUAGACCGAUCCACGGGCGAUUGGUUACUGUGGGUGGUGUGCAAGGAGCCAAGCAUGC
rnacentral:pre_miRNA from 1 species